rnacentral:pre_miRNA from 1 species
CAUAUACUCCCUCCGUCCGAAAAUACUUGUACGAGGAAUGGAUGUAUCUAGAUGUAUUUUAGUUCUAGAUACAUCCAUUUCUAUCAUUUUUGCAACAAGUAAUUCCAGACGAAGGGAGUAUAUC